GAUGAACGCUGGCGGCGUGCCUAAUACAUGCAAGUCGAGCGAACAGACAAGGAGCUUGCUCCUCUGACGUUAGCGGCGGACGGGUGAGUAACACGUGGAUAACCUACCUAUAAGACUGGGAUAACUUCGGGAAACCGGAGCUAAUACCGGAUAAUAUAUUGAACCGCAUGGUUCAAUAGUGAAAGACGGUUUUGCUGUCACUUAUAGAUGGAUCCGCGCCGCAUUAGCUAGUUGGUAAGGUAACGGCUUACCAAGGCAACGAUGCGUAGCCGACCUGAGAGGGUGAUCGGCCACACUGGAACUGAGACACGGUCCAGACUCCUACGGGAGGCAGCAGUAGGGAAUCUUCCGCAAUGGGCGAAAGCCUGACGGAGCAACGCCGCGUGAGUGAUGAAGGUCUUCGGAUCGUAAAACUCUGUUAUUAGGGAAGAACAAAUGUGUAAGUAACUAUGCACGUCUUGACGGUACCUAAUCAGAAAGCCACAGCUAACUACGUG
rnacentral:rRNA from 1 species